GAAGAAGCAGUCAGUGCCAGGCAGACAGUCACGUUAGCCACAGCAAAUACACCAAAGAGGAUCCAAGCUCAAACACAAGAUAACCAGAUUACAUUAGACAGCAGAUCUGAUGGAAAAGACAAAAAGUCUCGACAUCUAUCAGUGAAAUGUAAAGCGUUGUCAUCUGCAAACAAACACACAAUUCCCAAACGAGGCAAGAAAGGUGAAAGCUGUUUUUUUCCUUCAAACAUACAAAACUCUAGUACAGUUUUAAUACCGUGAGCGAUUCCAGCAAAGCCAGAAGAAUUGAGUGACAUGACCCACAAUCAUUGGA